rnacentral:rRNA from 1 species
UACAGAACGAACGCUGGCGGCAUGCCUAANACAUGCAAGUCGAACGAGACCUUCGGGUCUAGUGGCGCACGGGUGCGUAACGCGUGGGAAUCUGCCCUUAGGUUCGGAAUAACUUCGGGAAACUGAAGCUAAUACCGGAUGAUGACGUAAGUCCAAAGAUUUAUCGCCUAAGGAUGAGCCCGCGUUGGAUUAGCUAGUUGGUGAGGUAAAGGCUCACCAAGGCGACGAUCCAUAGCUGGUCUGAGAGGAUGAUCAGCCACACUGGGACUGAGACACGGCCCAGACUCCUACGGGAGGCAGCAGUGGGAAUAUUGGACAAUGGGCGAAAGCCUGAUCCAGCAAUGCCGCGUGAGUGAUGAAGGCCUUAGGGUUGUAAAGCUCUUUUACCCGGGAUGAUAAUGACAGUACCGGGAGAAUAAGCUCCGGCUAACUCCGUG